rnacentral:RNase_P_RNA from 1 species
GCAACAGCCCGUUCUAUCGCCACGAUACGUUUUACGAAUCGGGGAGGAAAGUCGGGACAACACAGAGCACCAUACUUCCUAACGGGAAGGCUCCGAUAUUUUUCGGAGACAGCAAGUGCCACAGAAAACAACAGCCUAAGCUCCUUUUUACAGGAGACGGUAAUGGUGAAAACGCGAGGUAAGAGCUCACGCCACAUUAAGGUGACUUAAUGCGGGGGUAAACCUUAUGGGUUGAAAGGCUAAAUAUACCGGGGUUUGAGGGUUGCUCGCCCGAUCCCGAAGGGUAAGCCGUUAGAUCCUGCCGGUGACGACAGGACCAGAGAAAUGAUAGAAUUCCGGCUGAUACCGGAAACAGAAUCCCGCUUACAGGACUGUUGCUUUU